rnacentral:rRNA from 1 species
CCGGGGAAGAUGCCGGAGACCUGCGACAGUACGGAAAGAGACUAUGGAGCUUUACUGUAGCGUGACAGUGGGGCUUGGUACUACAUGGACAGGAUAGGUGGGAGGCUUGGAAACCAGGACGCCAGGUUUGGCCGGGCCAUCCUUGGGAUACCACCCUUGUAGUACGUGGACUCUAACCAUUGGCUAUGAAUGUGGGCUUGGGACACUUUCGGGUGGGGAGAGGGACUGGGGCGGUAGACUCCCAAAAGGUAACGGAGGCGGUCAAAGGUUCUCGCAGUAGGGUUGGAAAUCGUACUUAGAGUGUAAAGGCACAAGAGAGCUUGAUUGCAAGACAUACCGGUCGAGCAAGGAUGAAAAUCGGACUUAGUGAUACGGUGGUUCUGCGUGGAAGGGCCAUCGCCCAACGGAUAAAAGCUACCCUGGGGAUAACAGGCUGAUCUCCCCCA